rnacentral:rRNA from 1 species
GACGUAGGGGGCAAGCGUUGUCCGGAAUUAUUGGGCGUAAAGCGCUCGUAGGCGGAUCGGUAAGUCUGUGAAGAAAGACCCGGGCUCAACUCGGGGAACGGCAUAGAUACUGCUGAUCUUGAGACAGUCAGAGGAUGAUGGAAUUCCAGGUGUAGUGGUGAAAUGCGUAGAUAUCUGGAGGAACACCGGUGGCGAAGGCGGCAUCCUGGACCAACACUGAUGCUGAGGAGCGAAAGCCAGGGGAGCAAACGGG